UACGUAGGGUGCAAGCGUUGUCCGGAAUUAUUGGGCGUAAAGAGCUCGUAGGCGGUUUGUCGCGUCUGCUGUGAAAACCCGGGGCUCAACCCCGGACCUGCAUUCGAUACGGGCAGACUAGAGUUCGGUAGGGGAGUCUGGAAUUCCUGGUGUAGCGGUGAAAUGCGCAGAUAUCGGGAGGAACACCGGUGGCGAAGGCGGUUCUCUGGGCCUUACCUGACGCUGAGGCACGAAAGCGUGGGGAUCAAACAGG
rnacentral:rRNA from 1 species